rnacentral:rRNA from 1 species
GGAAGUAAAAGUCGUAACAAGGUUUCCGUAGGUGAACCUGCGGAAGGAUCAUUAUCGAAUAAACUAGGUGGGUUGUUGCUGUCCCUCUCGGGGGAAUUGUGCACACCUUACCUUUUUUGUUUUUCCACCUGUGCACACACCGUAGGUCUGAAGGAGGGGAAGGGGGGGGUUUGUAACCUCCCCUGAAACACUUUCAGGUCCUAUGUAUUUUACACAUACACUAUUAAAAGUAACAGAACGAUUCAAUGGGCUUCCAAGCCUAUAAACUAUAUACAACUUUCAGCAACGGAUCUCUUGGCUCUCGCAUCGAUGAAGAACGCAGCGAAAUGCGAUAAGUAAUGUGAAUUGCAGAAUUCAGUGAAUCAUCGAAUCUUUGAACGCACCUUGCGCUCGUUGGUAUUCCGACGAGCAUGCCUGUUUGAGUGUCAUUAAAUUCUCAACCUCAACACUUUUGUGAUUGAUGGCUUGGAUGUGGAGGUUUUUCUGCAGGCUGUUAAAGUCUGCUCCUCUCAAAUGAAUUAGUGGGUGCCCCGCGCAAACCUAUCUAUUGGUGUGAUAAUUAUCUACGCCGUGGAUUAUAGGAUUGCUGUAAAAAGGUGUUUGCCCUGCUUCUAACUGUCCUCUGGACAACUUGAACCAUUUGACCUCAAAUCAGGUAGGACUACCCGCUGAACUUAAGCAUAUCAAUAAGCGGAGGA